UGUGGCUAGCUCCUCUUCAUGUGGGAGCACAGCUGGGCCUUUGAGAUGUCAAAAAUUUAGGGGAAAGGAAAGGUCCAACAACCAACCCUUCGUUUCUUUAACAGAGAAAAUAGCUCAAAAUUGCCUCAGAGCUUUGAUGGAGGUCACUUCUCAUGUCACACGAAACCCUAAAAUCGAAUGAUCUGUACACAGAUUGAACCGAAUUGGUCGGAAGUGAUGGAGAAAUCAGAGAAAUAGAGUAUGCUUUUGGUUAGAAUUUUUUAGUUACUGUUUGUCUCUUUUCUUCUUGCUUGAGCUUCGCACCCCUGAAGAAAAGAAUGAUUCUUAGACAUCUUUUUAGCUUAAGAUCCCUGAACGAAGAAGAAUCCUGAUUGAUGGGAUUUGAGGUGGAAUUACCAUUGGAGUUUGGAUCAGCUCCAGAGGAAGCGGAUGCUUCAAAGAUGGCUAACUCAUGGAUUUAGUCUCACAAGGGUUGGAUAUGGGUCGAGAGGGAUUAAGCUUUCCUCUGAUGAGUUUACGACAACUAUCAGAACAUGGAAAUUAUAUUUAGGGACUGAGGAAUUAAUGGCUUUCGAAUUUCAAUAUGUGUAUAGGGAACAUCAAGUUGAAAACAUUUAAAGUUAAGAAGAUGCCUGAAAGAAUUUUGUUUCUUUGGACAAAUAGAUAGAUGUAAGGUUCUGUUUGAAUAGAUGAAGAAUGACAUUGGUGCUGAGAACAUGGAGGUUAUGUAGCAGGGUUUCAAAAACAAUAACUUUGGGGGGUUUGUAUUGUAUUUACUAGGGUUUGUAUUGCAUGUACUAGGGGUAGUAGGGCUUGAGAAAUAAAUACAACGAGGUUCAUGCGGUAUGUAAUGGGGCUUGAGAAAGAAAUGGAUGGAUGUGGAUUUUGAGGUCAGGCUUUUUCUUAGUAACAGAGGCACAAGAACAGUCCAUUUACAGAAAUGCACGCCAGGCACCGUAGCCCGGGCAGUGGAGCAAGGUCGAAUCACAUGGGCAUUGGCCUGGAUAAUAAUAAUUCUUCUUCCAUGCGUGGUAACCAUGGAGCUUACAAUUCAGAAUUUCGGGUUUCGAGUAGAGGUGGGUUUGGAAGAGGUCCACCACCCAAAGUUUACCCUCCACCUCGAAAGAGUGAUAUAUUCAUGGAGGCUGGCAGGCUUGCAGCUGAAUACCUGGUUUACCAGGGUGUAUUACCUGCCAAUGCGCUUACAGGUGGUAAGUGGCAGAAUGGUAGUGGAAAGUCAGAUAUCCUUGAAUUUAGGGUUCAAGACCGAGAUAACCCAGACGGCAGAGUGUCUGCCCUUACCAGGCUUGGAAAUGUCAUGGAGCCUAGAUCCCACUUGAGAGGUCGGAGGAGAAUAGGUGGUUUUAGGAACUUUGGUUGGGAUCGAAGUAGAGAAAAUGGCAGUGGUGGGAGGUUAGAGCCUUGUUCGGAUAGCAAUUGGGAUUCAAAUGUGGAGGGUGAAGAUAGGUGCCGUGCAGAUAAAAGGGGUGGUUCUUCAGAUAGUGGUGGAAUUGUGGUAUCUAAAUCAGAGGAGAGAAGUUAUGAUUCUGACUCUGAUCUAGAAAAUUAUGAAUUUCCUGAUGCCAAUAGGGCUUCUAAGGAAAGCUCUGAAAAAGAUUUAUCGGUCACAGAUGCCAAUGUGAUUAAAGAGGAAGAACAAUCAUCAUACCCGAUUGUUACACGGGGAAAAGAUGAUGUCUCGGAGACUAAACCUUCAAUUGAUCGGGCGGAGGAAAGAGAAAGCAAGAGUAUGCCAAUGCUCACUGGUAGUUCUGUUAAUACGCAUGAUGGUCAUGAGCUCUUGUCUGAAGAUACCACCCCAACGGGUAAGCGGCUGACUCCAUCAAGGGAAGAGGGGGAUGCUGAAAAUAAUAAACAAAGUAUUCCUCUGAAUCAUCAGGCCAUGGAAGCCAACCUGGUUAGCUUAUGCGCCCUAGAGAUACUUCCCACUCAUACCUUGCCAUUAAGGAGUGAUGCAAAACCCGAUCAAAUUCUGUCAUCUGUUUGUGACCAGGAAGGUAGGAGCACGAGUGGAGUGGGUGGAUUCAAAGAGGAUUUCGUCGACAAUUCUUCAAGCGAUUCAUUGACAAAUUUGAGGAGUGAUGGUCCUACGGAAGUCCCUGAGAUUCGGAGAGUUCUAUCAAGCAGCACUGUGGAAGACGUUGGGGAAUUGGAUUUGGCAUUGGAUUUGCAGAGUGAGAGAUUCAAAAGGUCUCAUACAUUCUCAGAUAGGUCUUCUUUCAUACAUCAACAGGAAAGCAGACAUGGCCCACCUGGCUUUGGUGGCACUGAGGGUGAGAGAAGUCCUUAUGCUCUCCCCAGAUUGCCAUUGUAUGGAAGAUGCAGAUCAGUGAUUCAAGAGGGAGAAAAGGAAAGUUUCGAACACAGUAUUGAUACAAGUGUGAGGACCAAGAGGCCUCGUUUAUGGAAUUCAGAUGGGGUUUCAAAGGAGGUUGAGGAUUACUGCGAAGUGAAUUAUUCGAGGGCCAAAGAGACAAUUCCACAGGCUAAGGUGACUCUAUCUCUUGAUGAAGAACUGAUUGAAGCGGUUGAGCAAGAGAAAUUCAUGGAUCUUAAUUUAAUACCCGAAGAUGAGCUUGAAGAUGAUAAAGCUACAUUGGGUUCUAUGAUAUCAACUAGUGAUAUUGAGUAUGGGGAUGGUAUUGAACAACUUAUGAUGAAUGAAAGGAACAUCCUUGAAGCUUCUGAGAAAGCGCAAACCUCUGAUGAUAUGAUCCUAGAUCAUCAUGUAUCUACUCACUGCUCCACACUAGAAGCCGAACAAGAAGCAUCCAUGUGUAUAGGCUUGUUAAUAAGGAAUAUCUGCAAUGGUGUUCAGUACAAAGCCAAUGGUGCACUUUGCAUUAAUGAUAUUGAUGAACCUAUAAAGAUUGACAGAGAGGACUUUCCCGCAGAUGAUAAUGGAAAGGGUUCCCUGAUUGAGUAUGAAGUAUUUCAUACUGCUUUGCAAGAUCUCUUUGACAGGUUCCCAGUCCUGCUAAAUCUUUAUCAAUCCAAGGAUAUCACAACUGAACUCAGCUGCCUUGUGUGCCUUGGCUUAAAGCGAAAGAUUGGAAUUGUGUAUUCAGGUUUGGGAAGCCUUUUAAAUCAUGCACAUGAGGCUAAUGAUCUUCCCAAAAUUCAUAGAUGUUACGGUCGUGCGAUUUGUAAUUUGCUUGGUAUCCAUAUGCCAAAUUUCUCAAAGAAAGCUAACAGCAGUGAUCUACAGAACGAGAUUUUCUGUGAGAAUGUAGAGGGGGAUCCGGGUGAUGCUGAUCCAAUUUAUCUGUCUUUGGAAGACAUACCAAUAAGCAUGCCUAUUAUAUGAUCAAGUGGUAUUCUCCUGUUUUCUCCCUUUAUAAUGGUUCAAUUCAUAGCUUGAUUUGGCAUGGGACAUCAGUCAACAUCACAUGUUUGGAGCCAUUUAGAAUGUGAAUAAUGUGAAAGGGUUCUUCAGAAUGGCAGAAAUAUAACAUUUGUGAUCUUAAAAGGGCUUUCCAAAUAUCCUCAGUCCUAAUGCUCGGAUAUCAUGCAAGAUCUUGCGUUUGGGAGCAAUGAACGCCGUACUUAGGCAAACCGCUUCUCUAGUUAGGGAUAUUGGAUUUGUUCAUGCUUUUGUUAUGGAAACAGAACAACCUCUCUUGAAUUGGGAUUAUAUUUCUAUUUCCGUUGCAUCUGAAUAUAUCAACGGGGCCACACUUUGUAUUUUGAAAUUUUCAUUAGCCUGCUAUGCCAUUUGGAGGAGCUAGGUAUGCAUGGUACACUCUGUAUAGACUUACACAUGUACCACCUCUGUAAGGAUAGGAGGUUAAAAAUGUCGGGUUGCACAAAAUUGGUUUAUGAAAUACCCAGAUUACUUAUUGGGUAUUCACUAUGUUGAAGUAAAGUUCGCCUAAAUGAGCGAUGUGAUUGUUGGCACUUCGAA